CACUCCGAGCUUGGUUUUCAUAUCAUGAGAAAAAGGGAACUGGGAUUGUCUUUUCAGGGCAGAGUUUCUGUUUGUGCAUAUUUGCCAAAGUGGAGGUACAAAUUAUAGCACGGUGGAUGCUUGCGCCGGAAUGCCUGGGCUGGAAUUCUGGCUCUUCUGCUUAUCAACUGUGUAACUCCGGUCAAGAUGAGAAAAUAUGCUUGAAAGACGUGAAAUGACCUUGUCAGCAUCACCCACCUAGAAAAGGCCACGUUGGAAUUCAAACUCAAGCUGUUUCACUCCAAACAUCACACCAAUUGCUACCUCACUACUUCCAUGAACUUUUUGUGCUUCCCAGCUACUCUACCCUUUGGAGUUGAAUUUUGGAUAUCUAUUAAUGAGUGGUUAAGCCUAUUUUCUUCUCUGCCUAUUUGUUCAAAGUAUCUGUGGUGUGUGUUGGUGGGAGGAUGGUAGCAUAGCUUUAUAAUUCAAUUUUUUUAAAUUCAAGGAAAUUAGAAAUGAUUUUUAAAAUUUGGGCCAUGUCAUGAAACAACAUAGAUCAUAAUGUUAUGUUGGAUUUUCACAGAGAAAUGUACUUAUGUAUGAAGUUCUAGAAACACAAGAGCAGACCUUGGCAGAGACGGCUCUUGAUUGAGGCUGAUGUAAACCACGCAGAAUGGGUGUUGGUCAAAUUUUAAUAGGACUUUGGGUGGUCCAUCAGUAAGGUGAUGAUUUACUCCAGUAUGACUAAAAACAACACAGAUUAUACUGUUGUUCCUAUGUAAGUAUAAAUCAUGCCUCUUUCUCAAAAAUGUUUUGGUCUGUGCUGGGAUAUGAAUGUCUGGGUCCCAAAAUUCAUAUGUUGAAAUUCUAACCCUGAAGGUAACAGUAUUAGGAGGUAGUGUCUUUGGGAGGUGACUAGGUCAUGAAGGCAGAUACCUUGUGAUUGGGAUUAGUGUCCUUAUAAAAGAGAUGGCAAAGAGUGAACUCGCCCUUCUACUGCAUAAGGUGACAGUGAGAAGAUGGUCUCAUACGGAAGUGAGCCCUCUGCAGACACUGAAUCUGCCAGGACCUUGAUCUCGGACGUUCUAGCCUCCAGAACAGUGAGAAAUAAAUUUCUGAAGUAUAUAAGCCCCCCAGCAUUCUGUUAUACUUCCUCAAAAAGACUAAGACAGUUUGGUAAUUUUUAUUGGCAUCCUUUGCAUGAGCAACUCCUUCCUGGAUAAACAAAGAUCAUUAUUCUUCAGGAUCUGGCCCCUAAAUGUGAAACGUUAACUUUGCAUUUCACUGGAAAUCAAAGUCUUGUGCAGACAACAAGAGGAAUUUGCAGGGUUGUCAGCUGCUCGCACCUCUGAUUGAGUUUGGGAAAACAGAUCAGUUCGAAAUCACUAGCCUCUCAGCGAAAACUGCAGGAUGAUCAAUUUCAAAUACCACAUAUCUCAGCAAGCAGACGUUAUCUACACAUUCGUUUCUUCACAUCCUCUUCUCCACAUGUUCCCGUCUCCUCACUCAAAUAGCUUUUAACAAUAACUCCAAGAAGCAGUGGGAACUAAUGACAAGUUUCAUCCCCUCAGUUUAAUAAUGCAGUCCUAAUUCUCAUGUAUUCAUUAUCCCCCAGCACCAAACCAUUUCCAUUUGCACACCAAAGCAAUCCGCCAUAUCUUUAGUGUUAAUGUCAGCUUGAUCUGCACUGAUCACUUUCAUUAAGAAUGCACAUUUACUGAGUAAUGUGAUCCAGAAACAGAUGCUUCCUAAAUAAACCACUCAUUGUAUUGACAAAAAUACACCAGCAUGAAGGUCAAAAGGCCUCGAGUUUUUUGUCUAUCUAAGGGAAAAAAAUAAAUAAUGACUAGUUUA